ensembl:lncRNA uncharacterized LOC107567805
AGAGAGAGUCAGAGUGGAAUAAACUCAGACGGUGAGGACACACAGACCGCAGAAUCACAACCAUGAAUGCUGUAAAUGCUGUGCAACUGUUCAUUCUGGUUUGGACCUUUACUGCUGUCUGUCAAGCUGAUAAAGAUUUAAGUGUAAGCUGUGAUGAUGUGAUUGGAUCUGUGGGGAAAGAAGUACAUCUCACCUGCAGCGUCUCACUGCAGUGCCCUAAUUGUUCCAUUCAAAUGUGUAAGUUUCGAUACCCUGAGAGCUUCAAAGACUCAACAAUCUGUAAAGAAGAGCCUCCUGUGAACUCCUGUGAUCAGAGAAACAGCUUCACAUGCCGCUACACUCCAAAUACAACAAUGACAGAAAAAUUCAGUUUCUUUGUGCAAACAAACUGUGGAAGGAAAACAACAAAAUUCACUGUGGACAUAGCAGAUUCAUCAUUAAUAAAAGCAGAGGAUCCUGAAUCUAAGGAUUCUGCAUCCAAGGACACUGACAUCAUUGCAGCUGUGGGCUGUUUCAGCAUCGUUCUCAUCAUCGUCAUCAUGACAGUCAUUUGCCAAACGAAACCAAACUUCCCCAAACCUUGUGGAUUCCAGAAGAGGAUGUUGCAUGAUGAAGAGAACACCACUCCUCCAGAAGAUGUGAUAUAACAGCAUUGACUCAGCAGUACGAGUUCUCAUGCAGUGCUCAUGAAACACACAGCUUUAUCUGAACUCCACUAAACUAUCUGUUGCAUCUCAAACUACUGAAUAUAUAACUCUGGUUGUUGGUUUAAAACUCUGUUUCUGUUUUAUAUUGAUUUCUGUGAAAUAACAGUAUAUUAUCGAUCUUUUUGUUCAGUGUAUAUGUGACUCUAAUGAACUCACGCCUCUCUGAACUUUAAGAGGAAACACAGCUAAACUCAAACUGUGUUUGGCUUUGCUGUUUUUUCAGAAUGUCAAGGAAUGUCUAUAAUGAAUAUCAGUGUAUUAAUGUUAAUAUAACUCAAGUUUGGAAAUGAUUUCUUAAUAUUUUGCACAUACAAUUUUCUAAUAGUGUGAUUGGUGUGGUUUUGAAC